rnacentral:rRNA from 1 species
UAACCGGCGAUUUCCGAAUGGGGAAACCCAGUGUGAUUCGUCACACUAUCAUUAACUGAAUCCAUAGGUUAAUGAGGCGAACCGGGGGAACUGAAACAUCUAAGUACCCCGAGGAAAAGAAAUCAACCGAGAUUCCCCCAGUAGCGGCGAGCGAACGGGGAGCAGCCCAGAGCCUGAAUCAGUGUGUGUGUUAGUGGAAGCGUCUGGAAAGGCGCGCGAUACAGGGUGACAGCCCCGUACACAAAAAUGCACAUACUGUGAGCUCGAUGAGUAGGGCGGGACACGUGGUAUCCUGUCUGAAUAUGGGGGGACCAUCCUCCAAGGCUAAAUACUCCUGACUGACCGAUAGUGAACCAGUACCGUGAGGGAAAGGCGAAAAGAACCCCGGCGAGGGGAGUGAAAAAGAACCUGAAACCGUGUACGUACAAGCAGUGGGAGCACAGAGCAAUCUGUGUGACUGCGUACCUUUUGUAUAAUGGGUCAGCGACUUAUAUUCUGUAGCAAGGUUAACCGAAUAGGGGAGCCGAAGGGAAACCGAGUCUUAACUGGGCGUUAAGUUGCAGGGUAUAGACCCGAAACCCGGUGAUCUAGCCAUGGGCAGGUUGAAGGUUGGGUAACACUAACUGGAGGACCGAACCGACUAAUGUUGAAAAAUUAGCGGAUGACUUGUGGCUGGGGGUGAAAGGCCAAUCAAACCGGGAGAUAGCUGGUUCUCCCCGAAAGCUAUUUAGGUAGCGCCUCGUGAAUUCAUCUCCGGGGGUAGAGCACUGUUUCGGCAAGGGGGUCAUCCCGACUUACCAACCCGAUGCAAACUGCGAAUACCGGAGAAUGUUAUCACGGGAGACACACGGCGGGUGCUAACGUCCGUCGUGAAGAGGGAAACAACCCAGACCGCCAGCUAAGGUCCCAAAGUCAUGGUUAAGUGGGAAACGAUGUGGGAAGGCCCAGACAGCCAGGAUGUUGGCUUAGAAGCAGCCAUCAUUUAAAGAAAGCGUAAUAGCUCACUGGUCGAGUCGGCCUGCGCGGAAGAUGUAACGGGGCUAAACCAUGCACCGAAGCUGCGGCAGCGACGCUGAUGCGUUGUUGGGUAGGGGAGCGUUCUGUAAGCCUGUGAAGGUGUGCUGUGAGGCAUGCUGGAGGUAUCAGAAGUGCGAAUGCUGACAUAAGUAACGAUAAAGCGGGUGAAAAGCCCGCUCGCCGGAAGACCAAGGGUUCCUGUCCAACGUUAAUCGGGGCAGGGUGAGUCGACCCCUAAGGCGAGGCCGAAAGGCGUAGUCGAUGGGAAACAGGUUAAUAUUCCUGUACUUGGUGUUACUGCGAAGGGGGGACGGAGAAGGCUAUGUUGGCCGGGCGACGGUUGUCCCGGUUUAAGCGUGUAGGCUGGUUUUCCAGGCAAAUCCGGAAAAUCAAGGCUGAGGCGUGAUGACGAGGCACUACGGUGCUGAAGCAACAAAUGCCCUGCUUCCAGGAAAAGCCUCUAAGCAUCAGGUAACAUCAAAUCGUACCCCAAACCGACACAGGUGGUCAGGUAGAGAAUACCAAGGCGCUUGAGAGAACUCGGGUGAAGGAACUAGGCAAAAUGGUGCCGUAACUUCGGGAGAAGGCACGCUGAUAUGUAGGUGAAGUCCCUCGCGGAUGGAGCUG